GUGAAUCAUCAAAUCUUUGAACGCAAAUGGCACUCCCUGGGAUUCCGGGGAGUAUGCCUGUUUGAGGGUCGGUAGAACAAAAAUCGAAGCGGCGCUCUUUUUUUUAAGGGUGAUCGCGUCGGAAUUGAGCCGUCUUUCAAGUGUUAAUGCAUGUCAAAGUGGCUUAAAAUGCAUCCAUCCGGUACGAGUAAAGCGUAUUUAAGAUCAAUUUUGAUUAAGAACGCGCGAUGAACGUACCAUCUCAUGUAGUACGUUUGGCCUGGGUCGUCAUGAUCAUUCGUAU
rnacentral:misc_RNA from 1 species